CUGCUCGCUUUGGCAGCACAUGUACUAAAAUAGGAACGAUACAGAGAAGAUUAGCAUGGCCCCUGCGCAAGUAUGACACACAAAUUCACAAAGUGUUCCAUAUUUUA
rnacentral:snRNA from 1 species